rnacentral:rRNA from 1 species
AUCUAAGUACCCCGAGGAAAAGAAAUCAACCGAGAUUCCCCCAGUAGCGGCGAGCGAACGGGGAACAGCCCAGAGCCUGAAUCAGCUUGUGUGUCAGUGGAACGGUCUGGAAAGGCCGGCGAUACAGGGUGACAGCCCCGUACACGAAGGCACACAGGCUGUGAGCUCGAUGAGUAGGGCGGGACACGUGAUAUCCUGUCUGAAGAUGGGGGGACCAUCCUCCAAGGCUAAAUACUCCUGACUGACCGAUAGUGAACCAGUACCGUGAGGGAAAGGCGAAAAGAACCCCGGCGAGGGGAGUGAAACAGAACCUGAAACCGUGUACGUACAAGCAGUGGGAGCCUUCGUAAGAGGGUGACUGCGUACCUUUUGUAUAAUGGGUCAGCGACUUAUAUUCUGUAGCAAGGUUAACCGUAUAGGGGAGCCGAAGGGAAACCGAGUCUUAAUUGGGCGUUAAGUUGCAGGGUAUAGACCCGAAACCCGGUGAUCUAGCCAUGGGCAGGUUGAAGGUUGGGUAACACUAACUGGAGGACCGAACCGACUAAUGUUGAAAAAUUAGCGGAUGACCUGUGGCUGGGGGUGAAAGGCCAAUCAAACCGGGAGAUAGCUGGUUCUCCCCGAAAGCUAUUUAGGUAGCGCCUCGUGAACUCAUCUCCGGGGGUAGAGCACUGUUUCGGCUAGGGGGCCAUCCCGGCUUACCAACCCGAUGCAAACUGCGAAUACCGGAGAAUGUUAUCACGGGAGACACACGGCGGGUGCUAACGUCCGUCGUGAAGAGGGAAACAACCCAGACCGCCAGCUAAGGUCCCAAAGUCAUGGUUAAGUGGGAAACGAUGUGGGAAGGCCCAGACAGCCAGGAUGUUGGCUUAGAAGCAGCCAUCAUUUAAAGAAAGCGUAAUAGCUCACUGGUCGAGUCGGCCUGCGCGGAAGAUGUAACGGGGCUAAACCAUGCA